GAUGAACGCUGGCGGCGUGCCUAAUACAUGCAAGUCGAGCGAACGGACGAGAAGCUUGCUUCUCUUAUGUUAGCGGCGGACGGGUGAGUAACACGUGGAUAACCUACCUAUAAGACUGGGAUAACUUCGGGAAACCGGAGCUAAUACCGGAUAAUAUUUUGAACCGCAUGGUUCAAAAGUGAAAGACGGUCUUGCUGUCACUUAUAGCAGGAUCCGCGCUGCAUUAGCUAGUUGGUAAGGUAACGGCUUACCAAGGCAACGAUGCAUAGCCGACCUGAGAGGGUGAUCGGCCACACUGGAACUGAGACACGGUCCAGACUCCUACGGGAGGCAGCAGUAGGGAAUCUUCCGCAAUGGGCGAAAGCCUGACGGAGCAACGCCGCGUGAGUGAUGAAGGUCUUCGGAUCGUAAAACUCUGUUAUUAGGGAAGAACAUAUGUGUAAGUAACUGUGCACAUCUUGACGGUACCUAAUCAGAAAGCCACGGCUAACUACGUG
rnacentral:rRNA from 1 species